GUUUGAGUGUGUGAUUACUUUGGAGAUGAUAAGGAUAAGUUUAAACUUUUCUUGGAAUCAAAUUGAAAAUAAUGGUUGUUCUGUUGGAAGUUUUUAUCUAUGAAGCACGAACACCUGUUCUUGAACAGACACCGACACUGACACGACGACACCUGUUCUUGAACAGACACCGACACUGACACGACGACACCUGUAAUAAUUUGAAAAAAUGAAUAAAUUAAACGUAAUCACAAGUGUUGGUGUCGGUGUCCGACAUUGACGUCGACACGGGCAUACUUUUUUUCAGAAGUGUCGGUGCUAUAGAGGUUUUCAUUAACAUUAGCUGGGCCUGGGAAUCAUUUGAUUUUAGCUUUUUCUGUCAGAUUCUGAAUGCGGUGU
rnacentral:lncRNA from 1 species